rnacentral:rRNA from 1 species
GAUGAACGCUGGCGGCGUGCCUAAUACAUGCAAGUCGAGCGAACGGACGAGAAGCUUGCUUCUCUGAUGUUAGCGGCGGACGGGUGAGUAACACGUGGAUAACCUACCUAUAAGACUGGGAUAACUUCGGGAAACCGGAGCUAAUACCGGAUGGUAUUUUGAACCGCAUGGUUCAAAAGUGAAAGACGGUCUUGCUGUCACUUAUAGAUGGAUCCGCGCUGCAUUAGCUAGUUGGUAAGGUAACGGCUUACCAAGGCAACGAUGCAUAGCCGACCUGAGAGGGUGAUCGGCCACACUGGAACUGAGACACGGUCCAGACUCCUACGGGAGGCAGCAGUAGGGAAUCUCCCGCAAUGGGCGAAAGCCUGACGGAGCAACGCCGCGUGAGUGAUGAAGGUCUUCGGAUCGUAAAACUCUGUUAUUAGGGAAGAACAUAUGUGUAAGUAACUGUGCACAUCUUGACGGUACCUAAUCAGAAAGCCACGGCUAACUACGUG